UACGUAGGUGGCAAGCGUUGUCCGGAUUCACUGGGCGUAAAGCGCGCGCAGGCGGUCUUCUACGUCUGGGGUGAAAACCCGGGGCUCAACCCCGGGACUGCCUUGGAUACGGGAAGACUUGAGGAUCGGAGAGGCAAGGGGAAUUCCACGUGUAGCGGUGAAAUGCGUAGAGAUGUGGAGGAACACCUGUGGCGAAGGCGCCUUGCUGGCCGAUUUCUGACGCUGAGGCGCGAAAAGCGUGGGGGAGCGAACAGG
rnacentral:rRNA from 1 species